UUUUGCUUCUCCGCUUUUCCUCUCUCUCUCUCUCUCGCUUUCCCUGCACUUCUAUACAGCUACUCUUCACCCACUUCUACCAAGUACCUCUCAAGUUCUGCGUUUCUUCUCUUUACCAUAAUUUUGCGCACAUUUUAAUUCUCCGGAAAAAUCUUUAAAAAAUCUAUCUUUAAGUCUCUCAAAUUCCCCUUCUUUCUAAUCCUUAUACUCACGUUGGGGUCAUCCUUUCCAUUCUCUGCCUCUUCUUUCUUUCUUUCUUUCUCUGUUUCAACUUGUAUUUUUGGGAGCUUAUGUGCCCUCUAAUGGCAGUUUCUCUCUCUUUCCAUUUGCCUUAAUCUCUCUCUCUCUCUCCCCCCCCCCUCUCCUCUCCCCGUGCAGAUCCCAAGAAAGAGAGAAAUGGGAGGAACGUAAACCCUAAGUAAAGGAAAAGGGCAACACUCUCUCUUUAUCUCUCCUUUUCUCUUCUAUAUUUGCUUCCGGCCUCUCUCUCUCUCUCUCUCUCACGGGCUAGACUCCCUUUUCGGAGGGCCGAGGGAGAAAGUUCGACUCUUUUUCUUCUCCAGAUUAUUUUCUUCUUUUUUUCCUACUCUCUUGCUUAAGUUUUGAGCGGUGAGGAAGUGGAGGGAGGAAGGAAAGGGGAGAUAAUGGUGGGGGUUGGGGUCGGGACGAGGUUGUUUACCAGUGUCAGCAUGGAAACCAGCUGCGGGGCUUUGCUUAGAGAGCUUCAGCAUACAUGGGCGGAGAUAGGGGAGAGCGAACCAGAUAAAGAGCGUAAGUUGUUGGAGAUUGAGAGGGAGUGCUUGGAAGUAUACCGGAGGAACGUUGAUGAAGCCAGCAAGGCCAAGGCACAGCUCCAUCAGUCUGUGGCUGCCAAAGAAGCAGAGCUUGCAGCUCUCAUGGCUUCCCUCGGGGAGCACACUCUCCAUUUGAAGAAAGACAAAAAACUUGGAUCAUUGAAGGAACAACUUGCUUCAGUUGCACCUUUGGUGGAAGAUCUGAGAGCAGAGAAAGAGGAAAGGGUCAAGCAAUUUGCUGAUAUACGAUCCCAGAUUGAGAAGAUCAGUGUUGAACUAACAGAACACAAUCAUCAGAAUGACACUUCAACUAGCCCUGUUUCUACUGAAGAGCAUGAUUUGUCAAUGAGGAAGCUUAAUGAAUACCAAGCAAGGCUUCGUGCGCUCCAAAAGGAGAAGUCUGAUCGCCUUCAUAAGGUUCUGGAAUAUGUAAAUGAAGUGCAUUGUUUAUGUGGCGUGCUUGGACUGGACUUUCAAAAGACAGUGGAUGAAGUGCAUCCAAGUUUGCAUGAGACUGGUUCGGGGCAGUCCACAAGCAUUAGUAAUAACACACUAGAAGGUCUGGCCCAAGCUGUUUUGGAGUUAAAAGCAGAAAAGAAUGUUCGAGUCCAAAAGCUGAGGGAAACUGUGGAAUCACUGUUUGAACUUUGGAACUUGAUGGAUUCAUCUGAUCAAGAAAGGAGGCGCUUUGGAAGACUAACAUGCAUCAUUCGAUCACCAGAAGAGGACAUCGCAUAUUCUGGUUUGCUUUCACAAGAAACAAUUGAACAGACAGAAGCUGAAGUGGAAAGGCUGAAAAAUCUUAAAGCCAGCAGAAUGAAAGAACUCGUUCUGAAGAGAAGGUCAGAAUUGGAAGAGAUAUGCAGAAGAGCACACAUUGAGCCUGAUAUGACUACUGCACCUGAGAAAACUAAUGCAUUGAUAGACUCUGGUCUUGUAGAUCCAUCUGAACUUCUGGCCAAUAUUGAGGCACAAAUAGUGAAGGCAAAAGAAGAAUCUAUGAGCAGGAAAGAGAUAAUGGAUAGGAUAAGCAAAUGGCGUGCUGCUUGUGAUGAAGAAACUUGGCUUGAAGAAUACAACCAAGACCAGAACAGGUACAGUGCUGGAAGAGGUGCCCAUUUGAAUCUAAAACGAGCAGAGAAGGCACGGAUCACUGUCAGCAAAAUUUCAGCCAUCGUGGAUAGUCUUAUAAACAAAACUUUCACCUGGGAGAAUGAGAGGAAUAUGCCAUUCAUGUAUAAUGGGGUUCGUUUAGUAUCUAUUCUAGAGGAGUAUAAACUUACUAGACAGCAGAAAGAAGAGGAGAAAAGACGAUAUCGGGAUCAGAAAAAGCUGCAAAGUCUACUUCUUACAGAGAGGGAAGCAAUAUUUGGGUCCAAACCAAGCCCAAAAAGGAGCAACAGUUUUAAUAGAAAGCCGAAUGGAUAUAAUGCAAAUGGAAAUGGAUUCAUGACCCCCAUUCCACGGCGUCUUUCUGUUGGUAGUGCCACCCCUGAACUCCUUACACCACGCUCAUAUGCUGGUCGUUACAAUGGAUACUUUAAGGAGACAAGACAGUUGUCAACCACACCAUUGAACUUUGUUUCUUUAUCAAAAGAUGAUACCUUGUCGACCUUCACAUCUGUCAGUGGUUCAGAACCAGAAUCUCCACAACAAAUCUAAAUCUGGACGCUGAAGAAGAAAGAUCUUAUCAUGGAUUCAUAAGUCAGACAAAAACGUUACUGGAAUGAAGGAGGUGCAGGCAUCUGAAGUUGUUAGCAGAAUUGUACACUAGUGUUUUACCAGUGUUUUUAUCUUAGGACUUCGACUGGUGAGUGUUUACAGUUGUGAGAUAAUGCUUUAUAAGCUGAAAUUUUAUGGUGUAGAUACAGAAACUAACUAGGAGGUGCUGACUGCGUUGCAUUAAGAUUGGUUCUUUAGCUGAGAAUAGCAUUGUGAAAUUAUGUUGGGUGCUGGGUCUUCGUGUACAUAAAGCAGUGGUGCUUGUGUGAACUCCCUGUCUGUACCUUGUACCGCUAGAAUUUCAACAGGAUACAAAUCUUUCAGAGAUAAGAAAAUAUACUAACCAGUGGAGCUGAAGAAAUUUUCCAUAUAUCUGUACCAAAAAAAAGGGAAAUUUUCCAGAAGAUGCUUUACUUUUUUUAUUUCUUUUGCAGGUUUCAAUUAGCAGUUGUUCAAGUUUGUGAUGGUCAUCUUUUUUAUGUCACAGAGAGGCGAUCAAAUAUAUGAUUUGUUUUUCUUAGAAUUGCUACAUUUUAAUGCUCAACUUAUGACAAGCCACUAAUUACAGCAUUGACAGUAUUUCUGUG